UACGUAGGGUGCAAGCGUUGUUCGGAAUCAUUGGGCGUAAAGCGCGUGUAGGUGGCUUGUUAAGUCGAAUGUGAAAUCCCUGGGCUCAACCGAGGAAGUGCAUUUGAAACUGGCAAGCUAGAGGACGGCAGAGGAAGGUGGAAUUCCAAGUGUAGAGGUGAAAUUCGUAGAUAUUUGGAGGAAUACCGGUGGCGAAGGCGGCCUUCUGGACCGGUCCUGACACUGAGACGCGAAAGCGUGGGGAGCAAACAGG
rnacentral:rRNA from 1 species